AGCGUACACGGUGGAUGCCCUGGCAGUCAGAGGCGAUGAAGGACGUGCUAAUCUGCGAUAAGCGCCGGUAAGGUGAUAUGAACCGUUAUAACCGGCGAUUUCCGAAUGGGGAAACCCAGUGUGAUUCGUCACACUAUCAUUAACUGAAUCCAUAGGUUAAUGAAGCGAACCGGGGGAACUGAAACAUCUAAGUACCCCGAGGAAAAGAAAUCAACCGAGAUUCCCCCAGUAGCGGCGAGCGAACGGGGAGGAGCCCAGAGCCUGAAUCAGCAUGUGUGUUAGUGGAAGCGUCUGGAAAGGCGCGCGAUACAGGGUGACAGCCCCGUACACAAAAGCGCAUGUGCUGUGAGCUCGAUGAGUAGGGCGGGACACGUGGUAUCCUGUCUGAAUAUGGGGGGACCAUCCUCCAAGGCUAAAUACUCCUGACUGACCGAUAGUGAACCAGUACCGUGAGGGAAAGGCGAAAAGAACCCCGGCGAGGGGAGUGAAACAGAACCUGAAACCGUGUACGUACAAGCAGUGGGAGCACAGGUUUACCUGUGUGACUGCGUACCUUUUGUAUAAUGGGUCAGCGACUUAUAUUCUGUAGCAAGGUUAACCGUAUAGGGGAGCCGAAGGGAAACCGAGUCUUAAUUGGGCGUUAAGUUGCAGGGUAUAGACCCGAAACCCGGUGAUCUAGCCAUGGGCAGGUUGAAGGUUGGGUAACACUAACUGGAGGACCGAACCGACUAAUGUUGAAAAAUUAGCGGAUGACCUGUGGCUGGGGGUGAAAGGCCAAUCAAACCGGGAGAUAGCUGGUUCUCCCCGAAAGCUAUUUAGGUAGCGCCUCGUGAACUCAUCUCCGGGGGUAGAGCACUGUUUCGGCUAGGGGGCCAUCCCGGCUUACCAACCCGAUGCAAACUGCGAAUACCGGAGAAUGUUAUCACGGGAGACACACGGCGGGUGCUAACGUCCGUCGUGAAGAGGGAAACAACCCAGACCGCCAGCUAAGGUCCCAAAGUCAUGGUUAAGUGGGAAACGAUGUGGGAAGGCCCAGACAGCCAGGAUGUUGGCUUAGAAGCAGCCAUCAUUUAAAGAAAGCGUAAUAGCUCACUGGUCGAGUCGGCCUGCGCGGAAGAUGUAACGGGGCUAAACCAUGCACCGAAGCUGCGGCAGCGAACGUAUCACUUAAAACGAUUCAGAAGCUUACGAUUGACGGAGCGAAGCGACGUCAAAGCGUAUACAAAGUCGAGUCGGUUUAGGGAUACGUUCGUUGGGUAGGGGAGCGUUCUGUAAGCCUGCGAAGGUGGCCUGUGAGGGUUGCUGGAGGUAUCAGAAGUGCGAAUGCUGACAUAAGUAACGAUAAAGCGGGUGAAAAGCCCGCUCGCCGGAAGACCAAGGGUUCCUGUCCAACGUUAAUCGGGGCAGGGUGAGUCGACCCCUAAGGCGAGGCCGAAAGGCGUAGUCGAUGGGAAACGGGUUAAUAUUCCCGUACUUGGUGUUACUGCGAAGGGGGGACGGAGAAGGCUAUGUUGGCCGGGCGACGGUUGUCCCGGUUUAAGCGUGUAGGCUGACUUUCCAGGCAAAUCCGGAGAGUCAAGGCUGAGGCGUGAUGACGAGGCACCACGGUGCUGAAGCAACAAAUGCCCUGCUUCCAGGAAAAGCCUCUAAGCAUCAGGUAACAUCAAAUCGUACCCCAAACCGACACAGGUGGUCAGGUAGAGAAUACCAAGGCGCUUGAGAGAACUCGGGUGAAGGAACUAGGCAAAAUGGUGCCGUAACUUCGGGAGAAGGCACGCUGACACGUAGGUGAAGUGGUUUACCCAUGGAGCUGAAGUCAGUCGAAGAUACCAGCUGGCUGCAACUGUUUAUUAAAAACACAGCACUGUGCAAACACGAAAGUGGACGUAUACGGUGUGACGCCUGCCCGGUGCCGGAAGGUUAAUUGAUGGGGUCAGCGCAAGCGAAGCUCCUGAUCGAAGCCCCGGUAAACGGCGGCCGUAACUAUAACGGUCCUAAGGUAGCGAAAUUCCUUGUCGGGUAAGUUCCGACCUGCACGAAUGGCGUAAUGAUGGCCAGGCUGUCUCCACCCGAGACUCAGUGAAAUUGAACUCGCUGUGAAGAUGCAGUGUACCCGCGGCAAGACGGAAAGACCCCGUGAACCUUUACUAUAGCUUGACACUGAACAUUGAGCCUUGAUGUGUAGGAUAGGUGGGAGGCUUUGAAGCGUGGACGCCAGUCUGCGUGGAGCCGACCUUGAAAUACCACCCUUUAAUGUUUGAUGUUCUAACGUGGACCCGUAAUCCGGGUUGCGGACAGUGUCUGGUGGGUAGUUUGACUGGGGCGGUCUCCUCCUAAAGAGUAACGGAGGAGCACGAAGGUUGGCUAAUCCUGGUCGGACAUCAGGAGGUUAGUGCAAUGGCAUAAGCCAGCUUGACUGCGAGCGUGACGGCGCGAGCAGGUGCGAAAGCAGGUCAUAGUGAUCCGGUGGUUCUGAAUGGAAGGGCCAUCGCUCAACGGAUAAAAGGUACUCCGGGGAUAACAGGCUGAUACCGCCCAAGAGUUCAUAUCGACGGCGGUGUUUGGCACCUCGAUGUCGGCUCAUCACAUCCUGGGGCUGAAGUAGGUCCCAAGGGUAUGGCUGUUCGCCAUUUAAAGUGGUACGCGAGCUGGGUUUAGAACGUCGUGAGACAGUUCGGUCCCUAUCUGCCGUGGGCGCUGGAGAACUGAGGGGGGCUGCUCCUAGUACGAGAGGACCGGAGUGGACGCAUCACUGGUGUUCGGGUUGUCAUGCCAAUGGCACUGCCCGGUAGCUAAAUGCGGAAGAGAUAAGUGCUGAAAGCAUCUAAGCACGAAACUUGCCCCGAGAUGAGUUCU
rnacentral:rRNA from 1 species